UUUGAUGAUCACUUAUUCCCUUUCCCUGAAUAAAUAGAUGAUUCAAAAUUCAAAUAAAGAUUUUUCUUUUGGUCAAAAUAGAAAUAGGGUUUGAAAUAAUAAAAUUCUUUCGGUUUCAAAAUUCUUUUUUAAAAUUUUUUUGAACCCGAGCACGAGGUCUUAAUCGGCAUAUCGAAAUUAUUGUACGUCAAAUCACAUCAAACGUGUUGGUUUUUGAAGACGGAAUGCGUUUUUUCACCUGGAGAACUUAUUAGAUUAUUGCGAGCGUAUUAGGCCAAUGGCUGGCUAAUGAUUGGCCAUUAAGUGAAAGAGAUCAACCCCUACCUCCACACUGCCAGAGCAUGGAGGCCACGGAAAUUAAGGAAAAAAUUUGCAGGUGAGAGUCCAAAUGAGAUCACAAAGGAUGGGAAAAGAGUGGCAAGGUCUCAAAUCAAAUUACAUUGCUCCAAUUACAGACAGUCUGGACACAAUAGCAGGAGAUGUCCUAAUGAUCCAUCUUUGACAAAAAAAUUGAAUAAUCCAAGGAGAAGGGUGAGAUCCAAGAGGCCAAAACCAGUUGAGAACACCACUGUUGAGCACAAUUCUGAGCAAAUGUUAGCCACUUCAUUACAGAGCAGAAGGGUUGGGAUUUUCAAGCCCUUGAGCAACGCCAUCAUGGACAUUAGGGCGGUUCCUUUACCGCUCGUAGGUACUCAGCAGGAUGCCCUUGUUUGGCCGCAUUCGGAAUCAGGUAAGUUCUCAGUUGCUUCGGCUUUCUCUUUCAUUUCAGGUCAAGAAGAAUCGGAGGCGUUACAUGCUUGGAUUUGGAGACUUAAUUGCAUGGAGAAAGUGAAGCUGUUCAUCUGGAAAAUCGCCUCCAAUGGUCUCCUAGUCAACUACGAAUGAAGAAGACGUGGCCUAAGCUGUUCAUCUGGAAAAUCGCCUCCAAUGGUCUCCUAGUCAACUACGAAUGAAGAAGACGUGGCCUUGCGGAAGUAGCAGAUUGCCCGCGUUGCAGAUCAGGAGACGAAGACUUGGAUCACCUUUUCAGACAUUGCGACUUCGCGUCAAGCUGCUGGGACAUUGCAACCCCGCCACCAGGAGUUACUACGAGCUUCCAUAUGCCUAUCACCAAGUGGAUCGAACAAGGUUGUACCAAUACUCAACAAUGUGGGCUUGGAAUGAGCUGGAAGUUAUGCCUCUCGUACAUCCUUUGGAACAUCUGGAAAGCAAGAAAUAAUGACGUUCAACGGCAUCGUCAUGCAGCCGAGCGAGGUGAUGAAUCACGCCAAGAGGGAGGCAACCGAGGCAAUACACCUUCUCACAAAGCAUAAUGGUUCGCUCCGUGCGAGUCAGAUUUGGGUUUCUUGGUCUCUUCCGGGUCCUGAUGCCGUCAAACUAAACACAGACGGCGCUAGAAAGACGACAUCGGGCUUGGCCAGUGCAGGGGGGUUAAUCCGGGCUCACCACGGUAAUUGGAUUGUCGGCUUCGGGAUCACCACGGUAAUUGGAUUGUCGGCUUCUCUUCAAAAAUUGGGAAUGCGAGAAGGCCUUUUAGUUGCAAAGAAUAGAGGGUUUGGGAACCUUUCUAUUGAGUCGGACUUUGAAGCUCUUAUUAGUGCCCUUGGAAAUGAUUGGAGUAAUUCUAUGGAAGCUAAGACAUUGAUCUCGGACUGUAAGUCCCUUAUGGACUCCUUUCACUAGGUCAACAUCAACCACGUGCUCCGAGAAGGUAAUCAAUGUGCAGACUGUUUAGCCAAUAUUGGGCAAACCUCAGACUGGGGUACGACGUUCUGGGAAGAUCCUCCAGAGGUCCUGCAAGUGCUGCUUGAUCGUGAUAAGCGUCAGAUUGCGACUAGUAGACGACGCUAAAGUGCUGUUUCGCUGUUUGGGGUCCCUGACCCCUUCCGCUCACCAAAAAAAAGUAUUUACCUAGUUGUAUUCACUUCAAUAGUUUCAUGGAUUGAUAUUACCUUUUUGUAGAAUAAUCCAAGGAGAAGGGUGAGAUCCAAAGGCCAAAACCAGUUGAGAACACCACUGUUGAGCACAAUUCUGAGCAAAUGAAUAAUCCAAGGAGAAGGGUGAGAUCCAGUAGGCCACAACCAGAUGAGAGCAUCACUGUUGAGCACAAUGCCGAGCAAAUGAUAAAGAUUUUUUUUUUUUCAGUUUAUUGUGCUUUAAAGUUGUGUUUAGUUCAUUGUAUAAAUGUAUUAUGCUCCAAUUCAUUUCAUUUUACCCUUAUGAGAACACUACAGAGCCACCAAUGGACCAGACUGUUGAGCCAAGUGUUUACAUCCCAGUUCCAACAGAAACCCAUGAUGAUUUUGAGA